rnacentral:tRNA from 1 species
GGCUGGGUGGCAGAAUGGUUUAUGCGGAGGACUGCAAAUCCUUUUUAUACCGGUUCAAUUCCGGUCCCGGCCU